ACUCCUACGGGAGGCAGCAGUGGGGAAUAUUGCACAAUGGGCGCAAGCCUGAUGCAGCAACGCCGCGUGAGGGACGACGGCCUUCGGGUUGUAAACCUCUUUUAGUAGGGAAGAAGCGAAAGUGACGGUACCUGCAGAAAAAGCACCGGCUAACUACGUGCCAGCAGCCGCGGUAAUACGUAGGGUGCAAGCGUUGUCCGGAAUUAUUGGGCGUAAAGAGCUCGUAGGCGGUUUGUCGCGUCUGCUGUGAAAUCCCGAGGCUCAACCUCGGGCCUGCAGUGGGUACGGGCAGACUAGAGUGCGGUAGGGGAGAUUGGAAUUCCUGGUGUAGCGGUGGAAUGCGCAGAUAUCAGGAGGAACACCGAUGGCGAAGGCAGAUCUCUGGGCCGUAACUGACGCUGAGGAGCGAAAGCGUGGGGAGCGAACAGGAUUAGAUACCCUGGUAGUCCACGCCGUAAACGUUGGGAACUAGAUGUGGGGACCAUUCCACGGUCUCCGUGUCGCAGCUAACGCAUUAAGUUCCCCGCCUGGGGAGUACGGCCGCAAGGCUAAAACUCAAAGGAAUUGACGGGGGCCCGCACAAGCGGCGGAGCAUGCGGAUUAAUUCGAUGCAACGCGAAGAACCUUACCAAGGCUUGACAUAUACCGGAAACGGCUGGAAACAGUCGCCCCGCAAGGUCGGUAUACAGGUGGUGCAUGGUUGUCGUCAGCUCGUGUCGUGAGAUGUUGGGUUAAGUCCCGCAACGAGCGCAACCCUCGUUCUAUGUUGCCAGCACGUAAUGGUGGGAACUCAUAGGAGACUGCCGGGGUCAACUCGGA
rnacentral:rRNA from 1 species